rnacentral:lncRNA from 1 species
UAGGUGGGUAUUGUUUAGGUAGGAAGGGUAAAUUAGGUGGUUAAGUCUUCUGAUUCUAUGUUGGUUGAGAUUUCGGGAGUCAAAACAAUCAUUCCCCGUCCCUCCCGCAUCAAUAAAGGGUAUAGAAGUAAAUUAUAUCAUAUGUAAUUAAUUAUAUAAUUAAUUGUCUAUUUCUUUUUCCACCAUAGAAAACGUGUAUAUAUACAUAUAUAGGGCUGUAUAUUCAACAAAAUAGACAUCAGCCAUUCUUGAUAUGGUAUCAGAGCCCUAAUUAAAGAAAUUCUAACCUCAAUUACAAACUUUAUUCGGCCUUCAUUGCCGAAAUAGAAAAGAAACAUCCUAAAUGAGUUAGGUCAGCUUUCAUAACUGACCAGUGCACACUAGCUGUUAGCCAUUGCUGUCAGCCACUGGUAGCAACCAAAUCGGCCUUCAUCACCGGCACCAGAACCUUUAGUUGUGUACUCAGACACAACCACACUGCAAACAUACAGAGCAACUCUGUGUUGUUGUCACCUGUGGCAACGCCAUCUAUCAUGACCUGACGCAAACACAACCCUCUUGCAACCAAAUGGAGCCGUUGGGCACAACCACGACCAGAUGCAGAUGUGACCCUCUCGCAACCAAACUUAAACGCUAGACUAAUACGCGACACCAUCUGUCGGGACACGACUCCAUCGCAAGACACUAUGUACAACACUCGCCCUCUACACCACCCUCUACUCCAGCCUUUGUCUAGGUGUAUGAUGCUCAAGAGAUAUACAGUGCUCACCCUUAAUCUUUGUCGCGUCUCUGCUACUGUUGUACUUAUACAUGCAACCUGUGCACAGUGUCGUGUUUCUCAAUUCAAAUCCAAGUUGUCGAAUCAACAACAUAGAAGCAAAGCUGCAGAUUCCCUCUUCAGGCCACCACUUAUAUUCCUAGUAAAAUUCCUUCUUUUUU